AAAAAAAGCAGUACUGGUCGGCCUACAGUCACUCCCAUUACAUCUGAUGAUGAUGACGCUGCGGAAGCAGGUCCAUCCCAAGAAGUUUUGACCAGCAGAAGGAGGACUCCUGUAGCACACCAAACAAAAGUACAUGUGGCAACAAAGAAAGCAAGGUCUGAUGUCCAAUCACAACCACAGCAGUCUACUCCGCCACGAAGAUUGUCGACAGUUUCUUCGGUACCACCACUCCAAAUUUUGGUCACACCUCCAAGACGCCAACCACACUCCCCUCAUCUUGAUUGUGAAUAAGAAACUGUAA